rnacentral:lncRNA from 1 species
UCCCUUUUAAACUAAUUAAACCAUUUAAUACAUAAUUAAUACGUCCUAAAAAUCCCAAACCCCACAAAAACGUAAUUCAAUAUCCCCAAUUCCAGAAGACAUUCAAUCUUUUUCCACUGGAGGUUUCUCCUCUUUAGAAUUUGUUGUUAUAACAUGCAAUCCAAAUUCUACAUCUGCGACCAUAUUUGUUGAUGGGGGUCCCAUAAAUUGAUUGUUGUUUCUAAGUCGAAUAAUCGAUCGGAACCAGAGGUCUCGUCUUCUUUUCCUUGUGCACAUCUCACUCUCAUCUUUGUAUAACAAUUUAAUUUUAUGAAAGAGGUAAGAUCCUAUAGCAAUCAAUGAUUUAAUUAUCUCGGCCUUUGGGCUUUAUGUUUAAUAUUUUUCAUUUGUAUUUUAUGAAUUAAGCGGUCCCAAUUGCUUCAGUUGUUGUUAAGUUUCAAGGUUUUUCUGGAUAAUGAAAGUUUCAAUUGCCGUUAAAUGUUGCAUAUGUAUUAUGUUGUGUUGUAGUGCAAGUUUGCUGUUAGAGAUGCUUUCGUUCAAUAUGUAAUUUAUGGCAAUGUUUAGGAUGGUUUGCUGUGUAAUAUCCCGUUUGUGUGUUCAUUAGCAAACUAAUAUAUGUUUUGCCUUCUUAGGUGAAAAUGAGUUGUUGAAAAAACUCAAUGUGAAUAAACAAGAAGAAAUAGAAGUAUGAGUAAAUUUAUUCUUAUUUAACGGACAUUACAAGAUUUUGAGGUUGAAUAUUUACUUUCCUGGUUGGUAUUCCGCUGUUGCGGGUCAUUUGGAUGUUAAUGUUUUUUGAACGUAAUAUUUAUGGAGUCUUCUCUACUGAUAUUUGUUGAUUUUGUGAAAUUUCGAGAAGUUUUGGAUUUUUUUUUAUUUUUUUUGUGGAAUUGAAUGUUUGAUUCGAAUACAUCACUAAAUUACUCCAUUAGGCAGAAAGUUGGGCAACUUGAUAAAUCUUUACUCAUGUAUUUGGCUACGGGAUAAAUUUGGAAGAGGUAAAGAGAGGAAAGGCUAAGGAUUUGGAGGCAGGUUUUGAACAUAUAGAUGAUGAAGGGG